rnacentral:rRNA from 1 species
UACGUAGGGGGCAAGCGUUGUCCGGAAUCAUUGGGCGUAAAGAGCGUGUAGGCGGCUCGAUAAGUCCGCUGUGAAAGUCCAGGGCUCAACCCUGGAAGGCCGGUGGAAACUGUCGGGCUAGAGUCCGGAAGAGGCGAGUGGAAUUCCCGGUGUAGAGGUGAAAUGCGUAGAUAUCUGCAGGAACACCCGUGGCGAAAGCGGCGCGCUGGACCACUACUGACGCUGAGGAACGAAAGCUAGGGGAGCAA